CGAUGAACCUCUUCGGAGGGGAUUAGUGGCGAACGGGUGAGUAACACGUGGGCAAUCUGCCCUGCACUCUGGGACAAGCCCUGGAAACGGGGUCUAAUACCGGAUACGACCAUCUCGGGCAUCCGAUGGUGGUGGAAAGCUCCGGCGGUGCAGGAUGAGCCCGCGGCCUAUCAGCUUGUUGGUGGGGUGAUGGCCUACCAAGGCGACGACGGGUAGCCGGCCUGAGAGGGCGACCGGCCACACUGGGACUGAGACACGGCCCAGACUCCUACGGGAGGCAGCAGUGGGGAAUAUUGCACAAUGGGCGGAAGCCUGAUGCAGCGACGCCGCGUGAGGGAUGACGGCCUUCGGGUUGUAAACCUCUUUCAGCAGGGAAGAAGCGCAAGUGACGGUACCUGCAGAAGAAGCACCGGCUAACUACGUGCCAGCAGCCGCGGUAAUACGUAGGGUGCGAGCGUUGUCCGGAAUUAUUGGGCGUAAAGAGCUCGUAGGCGGCUUGUCGCGUCGGAUGUGAAAGCCCGGGGCUUAACCCCGGGUCUGCAUUCGAUACGGGCAGGCUAGAGUUCGGUAGGGGAGAUCGGAAUUCCUGGUGUAGCGGUGAAAUGCGCAGAUAUCAGGAGGAACACCGGUGGCGAAGGCGGAUCUCUGGGCCGAUACUGACGCUGAGGAGCGAAAGCGUGGGGAGCGAACAGGAUUAGAUACCCUGGUAGUCCACGCCGUAAACGUUGGGAACUAGGUGUGGGCGACAUUCCACGUCGUCCGUGCCGCAGCUAACGCAUU
rnacentral:rRNA from 1 species